rnacentral:rRNA from 1 species
GAUGAACGCUGGCGGCGUGCCUAAUACAUGCAAGUCGAGCGAACAGAUGAGGAGCUUGCUCCUCUGACGUUAGCGGCGGACGGGUGAGUAACACGUGGAUAACCUACCUAUAAGACUGGGAUAACUUCGGGAAACCGGAGCUAAAACCGGAUAAUAUAUUGAACCGCAUGGUUCAAUAGUGAAAGACGGUUUUGCUGUCACUUAUAGAUGGAUCCGCGCCGCAUUAGCUAGUUGGUAAGGUAACGGCUUACCAAGGCAACGAUGCGUAGCCGACCUGAGAGGGUGAUCGGCCACACUGGAACUGAGACACGGUCCAGACUCCUACGGGAGGCAGCAGUAGGGAAUCUUCCGCAAUGGGCGAAAGCCUGACGGAGCAACGCCGCGUGAGUGAUGAAGGUCUUCGGAUCGUAAAACUCUGUUAUUAGGGAAGAACAAAUGUGUAAGUAACUAUGCACGUCUUGACGGUACCUAAUCAGAAAGCCACGGCUAACUACGUG